GAUGAAGAACGCAGCGAAAUGCGAUAAGUAAUGUGAAUUGCAGAAUUCAGUGAAUCAUCGAAUCUUUGAACGCACAUUGCGCCCGCCAGUAUUCUGGCGGGCAUGCCUGUUCGAGCGUCAUUUCAACCCUCAAGACCCCUUCGGGGGACUUGGUGUUGGGGACCGGCACAGGGGCCUGCCUGCUUGUCUUGCAGCGCCCUCGCCGCCCCCGAAAUGAAUUGGCGGCCUCGUCGCGGCCUCCCCUGCGUAGUAGCACAACCUCGCAACGGGAACGUGACAGCGGCCACUGCCGUAAAACAACCCAAUUUUAUUAGAGUUGACCUCGAAUCAGGUAGGAAUACCCGCUGAACUUAAGCAUAUCAAUAAGCGGAGGA
rnacentral:misc_RNA from 1 species